GUCUAUAACGACUCUCGGCAACGGAUAUCUCGGCUCUCGCAUCGAUGAAGAACGUAGCGAAAUGCGAUACUUGGUGUGAAUUGCAGAAUCCCGUGAACCAUCGAGUCUUUGAACGCAAGUUGCGCCCUAAGCCUUCAGGCCGAGGGCACGUCUGCCUGGGUGUCACAAA
rnacentral:rRNA from 2 species